UACGAUAAAUUCAUUUUUGUUGGAAUUAU
rnacentral:sRNA from 1 species